rnacentral:lncRNA from 1 species
AAUGUAAAAAUAGGUGGUUGUGGUUGAAUUAAUUGAGUGUGAGCUAGGGUGUUAAUAAAGGGUAUUUGUAAGGGGGUAAUUGCCCCUAAAUACAUAAGCUUUCACCAAAUUUUGGAAUUGUAUACCACCUUUAAAAUCAACUUCGCAAUACAUAAUCUUUGUAUAUUUUCUGAUUUAUCCUUGUAUCAAAAUCGACUCGCCUUUUCUCCCGUUGUUGUUCAGUCGGUAUUUACCGAGGGUGGAUUUGCCGUCGGUAAUCCCCCUCGGUGUUGCACGUGUUUUUUGUAGUGC